rnacentral:rRNA from 1 species
ACUCCUACGGGAGGCAGCAGUGGGGAAUAUUGCACAAUGGGCGCAAGCCUGAUGCAGCCAUGCCGCGUGUGUGAAGAAGGCCUUCGGGUUGUAAAGCACUUUCAGUCGUGAGGAAGGUAGUGUAGUUAAUAGCUGCAUUAUUUGACGUUAGCGACAGAAGAAGCACCGGCUAACUCCGUGCCAGCAGCCGCGGUAAUACGGAGGGUGCGAGCGUUAAUCGGAAUUACUGGGCGUAAAGCGCAUGCAGGUGGUUGUUAAGUCAGAUGUGAAAGCCCGGGGCUCAACCUCGGAAUAGCAUUUGAAACUGGCAGACUAGAGUACUGUAGAGGGGGUUAGAAUUUCAGGUGUAGCGGUGAAAUGCGUAGAGAUCUGAAGGAAUACCGGUGGCGAAGGCGGCCCCUGGACAGAUACUGACACUCAGAUGCGAAAGCGU